GGAUGUGAGAGCGAUCUGGCUGUGACAUCACCCCAUUGAUCGCCAGAGUUGAUUUGGCUGAUCUGGCUGGCUAGGGGGGUGUCCUGUUCCUCCCUCACCACUCCAUGUGCGCCCCAAAUGAAACUGCGCGCUCGGUUGAAGAGGAUGGCCUUCCCCAAAUAGAGACGGACUGGUCUUCAGUUGAGGGUAUAGGAGUAGCUUCACUCCCCUGCUAGAACCUCCAAACAAGCUCUCAAGGAGGAUCGGAUACCACUAGAAGUAUUCAGAUCAUAGUGAAGCUAAGUAUACUAACACAGAUAUUUAGCCUCCCCCAACUAACCUGGCUAUAAU
ensembl:misc_RNA 7SK 7SK RNA